GGUCGGUGGCGGACGGGUCACUCGCCAACCCGGUCAGGUCCGGAAGGAAGCAGCCGUAACGAGCCCGGCUCGGGUCGCAUGCCGGCCUCC
rnacentral:SRP_RNA from 1 species